rnacentral:tRNA from 1 species
GGCGAGUUAGCUCAGUUGGUAGAGCACACGACUGAAAAUCGUGGUGUCCCCGGUUCGAGUCCGGGACUCGCCAUCA